GAUGAACGCUGGCGGCGUGCCUAAUACAUGCAAGUCGAGCGAACAGACGAGGAGCUUGCUCCUCUGACGUUAGCGGCGGACGGGAGAGUAACACGUGGAUAACCUACCUAUAAGACUGGGAUAACUUCGGGAAACCGGAGCUAAGACCGGAUAAUAUAUUGAACCGCAUGGUGCAAUAGUGAAAGACGGUUUUGCUGUCACUUAUAGAUUGAUCCGCGCCGCAUUAGUUAGUUGGUAAGGUAACGGCUUACCAAGGCAACGACGCGUACCCGACCUGAGAGGGUGAUCGGCCACACUGGAACUGAGACACGGUCCAGACUCCUACGGGAGGCAGCAGUAGGGAAUCUUCCGCAAUGGGCGAAAGCCUGACGGAGCAACGCCGCGUGAGUGAUGAAGGUCUUCGGAUCGUAAAACUCUGUUAUUAGGGAAGAACAAAUGUGUAAGUAACUAUGCACGUCUUGACGGUACCUAAUCAGAGAGCCACGGCUAACUACGUG
rnacentral:rRNA from 1 species